GCUGGCGGCAGGCCUAACACAUGCAAGUCGAGCGGUAACAGAAAGAAGCUUGCUUUCUUUGCUGACGAGCGGCGGACGGGUGAGUAAUGCCUGGGAAUAUACCCUGAUGUGGGGGAUAACUAUUGGAAACGAUAGCUAAUACCGCAUAAUCUCUUCGGAGCAAAGAGGGGGACCUUCGGGCCUCUCGCGUCAGGAUUAGCCCAGGUGGGAUUAGCUAGUUGGUGGGGUAAUGGCUCACCAAGGCGACGAUCCCUAGCUGGUCUGAGAGGAUGAUCAGCCACACUGGAACUGAGACACGGUCCAGACUCCUACGGGAGGCAGCAGUGGGGAAUAUUGCACAAUGGGGGAAACCCUGAUGCAGCCAUGCCGCGUGUAUGAAGAAGGCCUUCGGGUUGUAAAGUACUUUCAGUUGUGAGGAAGGCGUUGGAGUUAAUAGCUUCAGCGUUUGACGUUAGCAACAGAAGAAGCACCGGCUAACUCCGUGCCAGCAGCCGCGGUAAUACGGAAGGUGCGAGCGUUA
rnacentral:rRNA from 1 species